GUCCUCUACAACUGCAUGAUCGAUGCAUCACAUACUGAGCAGACAGUGACCGACCGACUAUCACUCGGCUACUCUUGUGCAUCAUGGCUAAUAUCCUCUCAUCAGCUGACCAUAUCUGGCUGACCAACUUCGCACCACUGAAUAGAUCUUGGUUUUGGACUUCUCCAUUCGAUGGCGACACAAGACGAUCGACCCUUAGUCA
rnacentral:lncRNA from 1 species